GUUCUCUGGAACGCCAUGCGGACGUCGGUCGAGCCUUUAUUAUGCGGACUAACUGCCUCGUGCUCAGUCACCAACAGCACGGCCGCCAUUUCCUCCUCGGCGUUCCAAGAAGAGAACUCUGACUCGUCGAUGGGCGCUGAAUCGACCGACGGCGACGACGGAGUCGUCACCGGCGAAGGCACCACGGUGUUCCGAUGCACGACGUACUCCUUCCUCCGCACCAACCUCGCCCUUGCCCUCUGGCUCGGCGCCAUCCACUUCGACGCCGCCCUCGUUCUCGUCGCCAUCCUUUUCUUCCCCCUCCGCCUCGCCGCACCGGUCUUCGCCAUUCUGCUAUUCUUCAUGGUGAUCCCGAUCGAUGAAAGGAGUAGAUCUGGGCGGAGAUUGUCAAGGUUUAUUUGCAAGUACGCCUGUGGGUACUUUCCGAUUACCCUUCAUGUGGAAAACAUCAAAGACUUCAGUCCAGAUCAAGCUUACGUUUUUGGAUACGAGCCACACUCGGUGCUACCAAUAGCUGUUUGUGUUCUUGCCGCUGACACAGGAUUCAUGCCACUGCCCAAAAUCAAGGCUCUCGCGAGCAGUGCUGUCUUCUACACUCCCUUUCUGAGGCAUAUUUGGACAUGGAUGGGAGUUGCUCCUGCAUCGAGGAAGAACUUCUAUUCCAACUUUGCUUCUGGGUACAGUUCCGUCAUUGUGCCUGGUGGCGUCCAGGAGAUGCUUCAUAUGGACCGUGACUCUGAGGUUGCCUUCCUUAAAUCAAGAAGAGGAUUUGUGCGAAUUGCUAUGGAGAUGGGUCGACCUUUAGUGCCAGUUUUUGCCUUUGGCCAGAGUGGCGUCUAUCGAUGGUGGAAGCCCACUGGAAAAUCAUUUGUGAAGAUAGCUCGAGCACUCAAGUUCACACCAUUAAUCUAUUGGGGAAGAUUUGGAACACCCAUACCGCAUCGACACCCAAUUGAUGUAGUCGUGGGGAGACCAAUUGAGCUGGUAAAAAAUCCCAACCCAACCACCGAGGAGAACAAGUUUUUCAGUAAAAGCUCCUUUUUAUUCAGAAGACAAGGAGCCAUUCAAGUCCUUCAGUUUGCUUAAAUAUGAAGUGAAAGCUAUCAAAAUCGACGACCCGAGACACCAACAUUCCUUCAGAGUUCUUCGGCAGAUCGAUCUUAAUAUCGUCCGAGGAAGUUUUUGAGCCUGUGACAUGCUUCUCGGACAUACUCUGUGCUAUUGAAUGAGCUAACUCUGAUAAACCCUUCACCUCCCGGGCCAAAGCCAGUCCCUGGCACAGUGAUUAUGUGGGUCUUCUCAAGGAUUUCGGUAAACACAUCCCAAGAUUUCCUUCCAGGGAAGUAAACCCAAACAUAAGGAGAAUUAGUCCCCCCAUAAACCUCGAGACCCAUCGAGGCAAAUGUGUCAGUUAACACCCUUGCAUUCUCCUUGUAAACUCCGAUCAGGUUCUUCGUAGCCUGCAACCGCGACUUAUCGUAAGAGUUAGCAUCGUCACAAUUCAAAGUUAAUACUAGUUCAUCAUCUAGCUAACCUCGCGACCUUCAUUGGAGAGGCAUGCUAGGCCCCCUCUUUGCGCGAUGUUGGAUGCGCCGUUGAAGCAGGUGCAAAUGAUGCGGUCGAAGUCCUUGUGCACGGGGAAGCCAUUGGAGUACGAGAGCUCGUGAGGCACCACGGUCCAUCCGAGUCGGACACCGGUAAAGCCAGCUAGUUUGGAGAAGGAUGAGAUCUCUAUGGCUACCUGAAACAGCAAGUUAACACAGCCAACGUGAAACUACAAUGAAAUUGAACUACCGAAAGGGGUACCUCUUUAGCGCCGGGGAUUUCAUAAAUGGAAGUAGGACUAUCGUCUGAAAUAUAAUCAGAAUAAGCAGAAUCAUAGACGAUGAUCGAACCGUUCUUGGUCGCGACCUCCACCAGCUGCUCUAACUGCUCCCUGGACGCGGCAUGGCCGGUCGGAUUGUUAGGGGAGCAGAAGAAGAUAAUGUCGGUCCUCAAAACACCCGUGAAGUCGGGGAAGAACAUGUUCUCCGGCCCACAUUUCAUGUACUCGAUCCCGCCAUACUUACCGCUGUGCCUCAUGUAUUCACCGGUCUGCCCGAUUAUGAUGCUCGAAUCGACAUAAGCCUGGAAAGGUUGGAUCUUGCACUGCAACUGUGGCAUUGGAUCCAAACAGCAACUGCAACAAUGAGAGAAUGAUCAUUGAUGGUAAAAAAUAUAUAUAUAUAAAAUAAAAAUAAUAAUGAAUAAAUAAAUAAAUAAAUAAAAAGUUCUUUUUCUUUUU